rnacentral:rRNA from 1 species
UGCGUAGGCGGCCCGGGAAGUUGGGUGUGAAAGCCCUCGGCUCAACCGAGGAACUGCGCCCAAAACUGCCGGGCUGGAGGGAGACAUAGGUGAGCGGAACUUAGGGUGGAGCGGUGAAAUGCGUUGAGAUCCUAAGGAACACCAGUAGCGAAAGCGGCUCACUGGGUCUCUUCUGACGCUGAGGCACGAAAGCUAGGGGAGCGAAGAGGAUUAGAUACCCUCGUAGUCCUAGCUGUAAACGAUGAGCACUGGUUUGGAGGGUCCUCCAUAGCCUUCCAGACGUAGCGAAAGUGUUAAGUGCUCCGCCUGGGGAGUAUGGUCGCAAGGCUGAA